UACGUAGGGUGCAAGCGUUGUCCGGAAUUAUUGGGCGUAAAGAGCUCGUAGGCGGCUUGUCGCGUCGUUCGUGAAAACCUGCAGCUCAACUGCAGGCUUGCGGUCGAUACGGGCAGGCUGGAGUUCGGUAGGGGAGACUGGAAUUCCUGGUGUAGCGGUGAAGUGCGCAGAUAUCAGGAGGAACACCGGUGGCGAAGGCGGGUCUCUGGGCCGAUACUGACGCUGAGGAGCGAAAGCGUGGGGAGCGAACAGG
rnacentral:rRNA from 1 species